CCUACGGGUGGCAGCAGUGAGGAAUAUUGGUCAUUGGCCGUAAGGCUGAACCAGCCAAGUCGCGUGAAUGAAGAAGGAUCUAUGGUUUGUAAACUUCUUUUAUAGGGGAAUAAAAGUAUCCACGUGUGGAUAUUUGCAUGUCCCCUAUUAAUAAGCAUCGGCUAACUCCGUGCCAUCAGCCGCGGUCAUACGGAGGAUGCGAGCGUUAUCCGGAGUUAUUGGGUUUAAGGGGUGCGUAGGUUGUUUUUUAAGUCAGCGGCGAAAGUUUGUGGCUUAACCAGAGAAUUACCGUUGAAACUGGAAGACUUGAGUGUGUUUGAGGUAGGCGGAAUGCGUGGUGUAGCGGUGAAAUGCAUAGAUAUCACGCAGAACGCCGAUUGCGAAGGCAGCUUACUAAGCUAUAACUGACACUGAAGCACGAAAGCGUGGGGAUCAAACAGGAUUAGAUACCCGAGUAGUC
rnacentral:rRNA from 1 species